AACCCUCAAGAAAGACAGUGCUUUUACCUUCGAGCCCCCAUUCACACCUGACAGCUAAGUAUUUUAAGGCUAAAAUAAUACACCAUAGGCAACAAAGUGUAACUGCUGAGGUAUAAUAAGAACGAGUGGGACAUACAAUCGUCGAGAAACAUAUUGUAUAUGUUGGAAAAGGAUAAAGGUGAUGGUUUUUCGAUUUAAGGAACAAGUGUAUGCGAAAGUAUUGUCACAGUGGGACUUGAACUUGCACGACAUUUCGUCAACGGAGUUCGACACAGUGUAUCAAGACUGGGGAGAGGUCGAGAGGCAGAGUCUCAUCGUUGCUGUUGCACCAAUCAGAGGCAAGGCAGAGGUCAAGGGCUUGUCUGGAAGCAGGACACGCCCUAAGUGGCAGAGAUGACGGUCUCUACCUGCUGUACCACCUGGACCAAACUCCCUCUCUGGUGGCUUGUGAUAAUGGUCGUUGCUGGACAGGCCGUAAUGGGGGUAAGUGAGUGGUUUCUACCAACAUUCUUUGAAAUAUCUCAUAGGUUUACAUUAAUUUCGGCCUAAGUGAUAAAGUGAUAAAUUCGGUCUCAAUGUUGCAAAAUUUGAAAUUGUGAUUUUUACAUUGAAUAAAAGUAGAGACUGAGCUAGAAAAUGGUAUAUCAUACAAUACAACUGUGGAACAAUGGGAAAGUAAUUAUGCUUUGAAAGUUGCUAAAAUUGUAACUUCACUUUUGAGAAAAUGGCUCUUGAAUGUUUUGGUAAACCUACUGGAGAGCUCUUCUUUGUCUACACCCAUUCAGCUUUGUUCACACCCUCUUAAGCCUUAGCCCAUCUCUUUAAGGAUUCACAUGUGAGGCAAUGUACUUAACAACCAAACAUUUCAAGACUAAAGGCUGGUUUAUACUACAGGUGUAUUCGUAAAUUCAAUCUGGAGUGCCAGAUUGCGCCCUGGGCGUUCGUAAACUCAGAGCGUUGUCAGGUUGUCCAUUUGUAAAAUUUCAGAGCACACACACUAGAUUCUCUGGCCAAGGAGUAGGGUAGAUCAAAGCGUUCUGACCUAAUAACACCAGUCAAGCUCCCAAGCUAACUGGUAAUGUUGGCUAGCUUGCUAGCUACUUCCAGACACAUGAGAGAACAGCUCACACUGACCAUUUUACUCGCCUUAGCA
rnacentral:lncRNA from 13 species